ACCUGGUAGAUAAUUAUCCUAGGUGACACAAAUGCUAUUUUCUAUAUUUUUGACCACUUUUGUUCCUCUGCGCCUCCAUUGAUUUAGUCGCCCAUAUUUUGGCCAUUCUAACAAGGAUAAAAAACAAAUCGAACUACGAUAGAGACGUGGAGGUUUGGACUACGAUAGAGACGUGGAGGUUUGGACUACGAUAGAGACGUGGAGGUUUGGACUGAUAGAGACGUGGAGGUUUGGACUACGAUAGAGACGUGGAGGUUUGGACUACGAUAGAGACGUGGAGGUUUGGACUACGAUAGAGACGUGGAGGUUUGGACUGAUAGAGACGUGGAGGUUUGGACUACGAUAGAGACGUGGAGGUUUGGACUACGAUAGAGACGUGGAGGUUUGGACUACGAUAGAGACGUGGAGGUUUGGACUGAUAGAGACGUGGAGGUUUGGACUACGAUAGAGACGUGGAGGUUUGGACUACGAUAGAGACAUGGAGGUUUGGACUGAUAGAGAUGUGGAGGUUUGGACUACGAUAGAGACGUGGAGGUUUGGACUGAUCGAGACGUGAAGGUUUGGACUACGAUAGAGACGUGGAGGUUUGGACUACGAUAGAGACGUGGAGGUUUGGACUGAUAGAGACGUGGAGGUUUGGACUACGAUAGAGACGUGGAGGUUUGGACUACGAUAGAGACGUGGAGGUUUGGACUGAUCGAGACGUGGAGGUUUGGACUGCGAUAGAGACGUGGAGGUUUGGACAACGAUAGAGACGUGGAGGUUUGGACAACGAUAGAGACGCGGAGGUUUGGACUACGAUAGAGACGCGGAGGUUUGGACUACGAUAGAGACGUGGAGGUUUGGACUACGAUAGAGACGUGGAGGUUUGGACUGAUCGAGACGUGGAGGUUUGGACUACGAUAGAGACAUGGAGGUUUGGACAACGAUAGAGACACGGAGGUUUGGACUAUCGGUUUUCCUAGAGGAGUAUCAUCUACACAAUUAACAUUUUACCCAUUGGUCAAAAGACGUGUUUUUGAUUGGACACCCGAUAUUAAAAAGAUAAAAGAAUCACAGAGAGAGAGAGAGAGAGACAGAGAUAAAUCCUAUGCACCCGUGUGUAAAGACGUCUGUAUAAAUUAUACGGCUGUCGCUCAUCUCCCAGUCUUCACCUCAUCUACUACUUAGAUUUAAAUAAUGAUCACAUUUUUGAUGGCCUCUCCCUCGAUCUAGAGAGAAGCCUAUAACUCGUCAGUAUUACUGUUCUCCAUAUAGUAUAGAGAGAGAGAGAGAGAGAGACUGUUCUCCAUAUAGUAUAGAGAGAGAGAGAGACUGUUCUCCAUAUAGUAUAGAGAGAGAGAGACUGUUCUCCAUAGAGU